rnacentral:rRNA from 1 species
AUUGAACGCUGGCGGCAGGCCUAACACAUGCAAGUCGAGCGGUAGCACAGAGGGCUUGCUCUCGGGUGACGAGCGGCGGACGGGUGAGUAAUGUCUGGGAAACUGCCUGAUGGAGGGGGAUAACUACCGGAAACGGUAGCUAAUACCGCAUAACGCCGCAAGACCAAAGUGGGGGACCCUCGGGCCUCAUGCCCUCCGAUGUGCCCAGAUGGGAUUAGCGAGUAGGUGGGGUAACGGCUCACCUAGGCGACGAUCCCUAGCUGGUCUGAGAGGAUGACCAGCCACACUGGAACUGAGACACGGUCCAGACUCCUACGGGAGGCAGCAGUGGGGAAUAUUGCACAAUGGGCGCAAGCCUGAUGCAGCCAUGCCGCGUGUGUGAAGAAGGCCUUCGGGUUGUAAAGCACUUUCAGCGGGGAGGAAGGCGAUAAGGUUAAUAACCUUGUCGAUCGACGUUACCCGCAGAAGAAGCACCGGCUAACUCCGUGCCAGCAGCCGCGGUAACAC